rnacentral:siRNA from 1 species
UCUUGUCGCCUCUAUAUAAAGACU